AUGUGUAAGGGAACAAGAGGAAGUCAUCUCAUGGGGUUGGAUGUAUCAUCGAAGUAUCCACCAUGUCUUAAUGUUAGAAUGGACAAAUAUUGUAUACCAAAGUGGCUAGCAGUAAUACUUUUCUGGUGGAAGCAUAAAACACUAAAAAUUACAUUAAUCAUAAAGAGCUCAAAAACUAAACAAAAAUAUCAUGGCAUUAUAUUGCAAAGAAUAACAAGCCAAGUAUCCCGAGGGAAAUGGUUGGUAGGAAUUAACCAUCACCCCGCCCUAGCUACAUCAAAGAUGCUAGCCUAUCAAUGGUUGCAAACAAAACAAGAUUGUGCCAAUCUAGUCAAUUACUAG
rnacentral:rRNA from 1 species